rnacentral:rRNA from 1 species
AGAGUUUGAUCAUGGCUCAGGAUGAACGCUAGCGGCAGGCCUAAUACAUGCAAGUCGAACGGUAUCCACCCUUCGGGGGGGAGAGAGUGGCGCACGGGUGCGUAACGCGUAUGCAACCUGCCUUUUACAGGGGGAUAGCUCCCGGAAACGGGAAUUAAUACCCCAUGUUGCGGUCUACCGGCAUCGGUGGACGGCCAAAGCCUUCGGGCGGUAAAAGAUGGGCAUGCGUAGGAUUAGCUUGUUGGCGGUGUAACGGACCACCAAGGCGACGAUCCUUAGGGGUUCUGAGAGGAAGGUCCCCCACACUGGCACUGAGACACGGGCCAGACUCCUACGGGAGGCAGCAGUAGGGAAUAUUGGGCAAUGGGCGGGAGCCUGACCCAGCCAUGCCGCGUGCAGGAAGACGGCGUUCUGCGUUGUAAACUGCUUUUACCUGGGAAGAAAAAGCCACUGCGGUGGAAAUUGCCGGUACCAGGUGAAUAAGCACCGGCUAACUCCGUGCCAGCAGCCGCGGUAAUACGGAGGGUGCAAGCGUUGUCCGGAUUUAUUGGGUUUAAAGGGUGCGUAGGCGGCCUGUUAAGUCAGCGGUGAAAGUUUAUGGCUCAACCAUGAAAUUGCCGUUGAUACUGGCAGGCUUGAGUGUUGAUGGGGUACAUGGAAUUUAUGGUGUAGCGGUGAAAUGCAUAGAUACCAUAAGGAACACCGAUAGCGAAGGCAUUGUACUUAUCAACAACUGACGCUGAGGCACGAAAGCGCGGGUAGCGAACAGGAUUAGAUACCCUGGUAGUCCGCGCCGUAAACGAUGAUCACUCGCUGUUAUGCCUAUAUGGUGCAGCGGCCAAGCGAAAGCGUUAAGUAUCCCCCUGG